rnacentral:rRNA from 3 species
AGGGGGCCAUCCCGGCUUACCAACCCGAUGCAAACUGCGAAUACCGGAGAAUGUUAUCACGGGAGACACACGGCGGGUGCUAACGUCCGUCGUGAAGAGGGAAACAACCCAGACCGCCAGCUAAGGUCCCAAAGUCAUGGUUAAGUGGGAAACGAUGUGGGAAGGCCCAGACAGCCAGGAUGUUGGCUUAGAAGCAGCCAUCAUUUAAAGAAAGCGUAAUAGCUCACUGGUCGAGUCGGCCUGCGCGGAAGAUGUAACGGGGCUAAACCAUGCACCGAAGCUGCGGCAGCGACACUGUGUGUUGUUGGGUAGGGGAGCGUUCUGUAAGCCUGUGAAGGUGUGUCGUGAGGCAUGCUGGAGGUAUCAGAAGUGCGAAUGCUGACAUAAGUAACGAUAAAGCGGGUGAAAAGCCCGCUCGCCGGAAGACCAAGGGUUCCUGUCCAACGUUAAUCGGGGCAGGGUGAGUCGACCCCUAAGGCGAGGCCGAAAGGCGUAGUCGAUGGGAAACGGGUUAAUAUUCCCGUACUUGGUGUUACUGCGAAGGGGGGACGGAGAAGGCUAUGUUGGCCGGGCGACGGUUGUCCCGGUUUAAGCGUGUAGGUGUGUGUUCCAGGUAAAUCCGGUUCACUUUAACACUGAGGCGUGACGACGAGGCACUACGGUGCUGAAGCAACAAAUGCCCUGCUUCCAGGAAAAGCCUCUAAGCAUCAGGUAACAUCAAAUCGUACCCCAAACCGACACAGGUGGUCAGGUAGAGAAUACCAAGGCGCUUGAGAGAACUCGGGUGAAGGAACUAGGCAAAAUGGUGCCGUAACUUCGGGAGAAGGCACGCUGACACGUAGGUGAAGUGAUUUACUCAUGGAGCUGAAGUCAGUCGAAGAUACCAGCUGGCUGCAACUGUUUAUUAAAAACACAGCACUGUGCAAACACGAAAGUGGACGUAUACGGUGUGACGCCUGCCCGGUGCCGGAAGGUUAAUUGAUGGGGUCAGCGCAAGCGAAGCUCCUGAUCGAAGCCCCGGUAAACGGCGGCCGUAACUAUAACGGUCCUAAGGUAGCGAAAUUCCUUGUCGGGUAAGUUCCGACCUGCACGAAUGGCGUAAUGAUGGCCAGGCUGUCUCCACCCGAGACUCAGUGAAAUUGAACUCGCUGUGAAGAUGCAGUGUACCCGCGGCAAGACGGAAAGACCCCGUGAACCUUUACUAUAGCUUGACACUGAACAUUGAGCCUUGAUGUGUAGGAUAGGUGGGAGGCUUUGAAGUGUGGACGCCAGUCUGCAUGGAGCCGACCUUGAAAUACCACCCUUUAAUGUUUGAUGUUCUAACGUGGACCCGUUACCCGGGUUGCGGACAGUGUCUGGUGGGUAGUUUGACUGGGGCGGUCUCCUCCUAAAGAGUAACGGAGGAGCACGAAGGUUGGCUAAUCCUGGUCGGACAUCAGGAGGUUAGUGCAAUGGCAUAAGCCAGCUUGACUGCGAGCGUGACGGCGCGAGCAGGUGCGAAAGCAGGUCAUAGUGAUCCGGUGGUUCUGAAUGGAAGGGCCAUCGCUCAACGGAUAAAAGGUACUCCGGGGAUAACAGGCUGAUACCGCCCAAGAGUUCAUAUCGACGGCGGUGUUUGGCACCUCGAUGUCGGCUCAUCACAUCCUGGGGCUGAAGUAGGUCCCAAGGGUAUGGCUGUUCGCCAUUUAAAGUGGUACGCGAGCUGGGUUUAGAACGUCGUGAGACAGUUCGGUCCCUAUCUGCCGUGGGCGCUGGAGAACUGAGGGGGGCUGCUCCUAGUACGAGAGGACCGGAGUGGACGCAUCACUGGUGUUCGGGUUGUCAUGCCAAUGGCACUGCCCGGUAGCUAAAUGCGGAAGAGAUAAGUGCUGAAAGCAUCUAAGCACGAAACUUGCCCCGA